GUGGAGUUCACGGGCACAAGUAUAAGUCUCAACUGAUGACACGGGGGCCCCGCACACGCGGGGGCGCAUGGCGUUAAUUUCGAUGCAACGAGAAGACCUUUACAUUCUCGUGACAUCCAGAGAACUUUCCAGAGAUGGAUUGGUGCCUUCGGGAACUCUGAGACAGGUGCUGCAUGGCUGUCGUCAGCUCGUGUUGUGAAAUGUUGGGUUAAGUCCCGCAACGAGCGCAACCCUUAUCCUUUGUUGCCAGCGGUUAGGCCGGGAACUCAAAGGAGACUGCCAGUGAUAAACUGGAGGAAGGUGGGGAUGACGUCAAGUCAUCAUGGCCCUUACGAGUAGGGCUACACACGUGCUACAAUGGCGCAUACAAAGAGAAGCGACCUCGCGAGAGCAAGCGGACCUCAUAAAGUGCGUCGUAGUCCGGAUUGGAGUCUGCAACUCGACUCCAUGAAGUCGGAAUCGCUAGUAAUCGUAGAUCAGAAUGCUACGGUGAAUACGUUCCCGGGCCUUGUACACACCGCCCGUCACACCAUGGGAGUGGGUUGCAAAAG
rnacentral:rRNA from 1 species